GUGAAAUUGUUGAAAGGGAAACGCUUGAAGUCAGUCACGUCUGCCAGGACUCAGCCUCGCUUCUGCUUGGUGCACUUUCUGGUUUGAUGGGCCAACAUCAAUUUUGACCGUUGGAGAAAGGCUUUGGGAAUGUGGCACCUUUGGGUGUGUUAUAGCCCUUUGUCGUAUACGACGGUUGGGAUUGAGGACUGCAGCACGCCUUUAUGGCCGGGGUUCGCCCACGUACGUGCUUAGGAUGUUGGCAUAAUGGCUUUAAGCGACCCGUCUUGAAACACGGACCAAGGAGUCUAACAUGCCUGCGAGUGUUUGGGUGGAAAACCCAUGCGCGUAAUGAAAGUGAUAGCUGAGAUCCCCUCAUCGGGAGCAUCAGCGCCUGGACUUGAUCUACGGAGACGGUUCUACGGUAGAGCAUGUAUGUUGGGACCCGAAAGAUGGUGAACUAUGCCUGAAUAGGGUGAAGCCAGAGGAAACUCUGGUGGAGGCUCGUAGCGAUUCUGACGUGCAAAUCGAUCGUCAAAUUUGGGUAUAGGGGCGAAAGACUAAUCGAAUCAUCUAGUAGCUGGUUCCUGCCGAAGUUUCCCUCAGGAUAGCAGAAACUCGUAUCAGAUUUAUGUGGUAAAGCGAAUGAUUAGAGGCCUUGGGGUUGAAACAACCUUAACCUAUUCUCAAACUUUAAAUAUGUAAGAACAAGCCGUCACUUGAUUGGACCGCUUGGCGAUUGAGAGUUUCUAGUGGGCCAUUUUUGGUAAGCAGAACUGGCAAUGCGGGGUGAACCGAACGUGAGGUUAAGGUGCCGGAAUAUACACUCAUC
rnacentral:rRNA from 1 species